GAUGAACGCUGGCGGCGUGCCUAAUACAUGCAAGUCGAGCGAACGGACGAGAAGCUUGCUUCUCUGAUGUUAGCGGCGGACGGGUGAGUAACACGUGGAUAACCUACCUAUAAGACUGGGAUAACUUCGGGAAACCGGAGCUAAUACCGGAUAAUAUUUUGAACCGCAUGGUUCAAAAGUGAAAGACGGUCUUGCUGUCACUUAUAGAUGGAUCCGCGCUGCAUUAGCUAGUUGGUAAGGUAACGGCUUACCAAGGCAACGAUGCAUAGCCGACCUGAGAGGGUGAUCGGCCACACUGGAACUGAGACACGGCCCAGACUCCUACGGGAGGCAGCAGUAGGGAAUCUUCCGCAAUGGGCGAAAGCCUGACGGAGCAACGCCGCGUGAGUGAUGAAGGUCUUCGGAUCGUAAAACUCUGUUAUUAGGGAAGAACAUAUGUGUAAGUAACUGUGCACAUCUUGACGGUACCUAAUCAGAAAGCCACGGCUAACUACGUGCCAGCAGCCGCGGUAAUACGUAGGUGGCAAGCGUUAUCCGGAAUUAUUGGGCGUAAAGCGCGCGUAAGCCGGUUUUUUAGUCUGAUGUGAAAGCCCACGGCUCAACUGUGGAGGGUCAUUGGAAACUGGAAAACUUGAGUGCAGAAGAGGAAAGUGGAAUUCCAUGUGUAGCGGUGAAAUGCGCAGAGAUAUGGAGGAACACCAGUGGCGAAGGCGACUUUCUGGUCUGUAACUGACGCUGAUGUGCGAAAGCGUGGGGAUCAAACAGGAUUAGAUACCCUGGUAGUCCACGCCGUAAACGAUGAGUGCUAAGUGUUAGGGGGUUUCCGCCCCUUAGUGCUGCAGCUAACGCAUUAAGCACUCCGCCUGGGGAGUACGACCGCAAGGUUGAAACUCAAAGGAAUUGACGGGGACCCGCACAAGCGGUGGAGCAUGUGGUUUAAUUCGAAGCAACGCGAAGAACCUUACCAAAUCUUGACAUCCUUUGACAACUCUAGAGAUAGAGCCUUCCCCUUCGGGGGACAAAGUGACAGGUGGUGCAUGGUUGUCGUCAGCUCGUGUCGUGAGAUGUUGGGUUAAGUCCCGCAACGAGCGCAACCCUUAAGCUUAGUUGCCAUCAUUAAGUUGGGCACUCUAAGUUGACUGCCGGUGACAAACCGGAGGAAGGUGGGGAUGACGUCAAAUCAUCAUGCCCCUUAUGAUUUGGGCUACACACGUGCUACAAUGGACAAUACAAAGGGCAGCGAAACCGCGAGGUCAAGCAAAUCCCAUAAAGUUGUUCUCAGUUCGGAUUGUAGUCUGCAACUCGACUACAUGAAGCUGGAAUCGCUAGUAAUCGUAGAUCAGCAUGCUACGGUGAAUACGUUCCCGGGUCU
rnacentral:rRNA from 1 species